CUGCAGCCCGAGUGGUGAUCGAUUUUAUUGAGCCUAAAGCGUCCGUAGCCGGACUAGUAAACCCUUGGGUAAAUUGGGCAGCUUAACUGUACAAAUUCCGAGGGGACUGCUAGUCUUGGGACCGGGAGAGGUCAGAGGUACUCAAGGGGUAGGGGCUAAAUCCUGUAAUCCUUUGGGGACCACCAGUGGCGAAGGCGUCUGACUAGAACGGAUCCGACGGUAAGGGACGAAACCCUGGGGCGCGAACCGGAUUAGAUACCCGAGUAGUCC
rnacentral:rRNA from 1 species